UUUCUCAUUUUUUCAGAUAGGAUGAUAUUACGGUAGCCUAGGAUGAGCCUGGAACCUAUUGUCGGGGAGAUCCAGGGCCCAGUCUCCGACCAAGAGAUAUUUUCGGAACUAACGGAAAAAGAAUUUGCCAGGAAAAUAAUUCGUCGACAAAUUCAGGCUGAUCAGAAAGAGGUUUUCCCGGACCCUGCUGGUCUGAAAAGUAUAUACCCGGGCCUGGUUGUUGAAAAAGAAAAGAAAUCAUCUCUAAUUCGUGAACAAGAGUUUUUUCCAUGCCAUACCGCAGAGAGGCCCCAGGGCCCAAAUAUUGUAGAAGUGGAUAUGAUGGGCCAAAACAAGGACUCUAGGCUAGUCCUGGACCCACUUGUAAUAAAUGAAGAAAGUUCUGGGCUAAAUGGAGUUGGAACGAAUACAAAUAUAAUAUGUUCAGACAUUCAUAAAAAAGAAGAAUCAUUUCUUAAUACACACUUGGAAGGGAAAUCUGGACAGAUGGACUCAAAUAUUACUCAAAGUGAAGAUUUAUGCCGCGGAGGUUCCACUAAUGCUGUACCAACACUAACGACCCCUACCCUCACCCCAACCACUCUUAGAAAUAUUGAACAGAUGUUUGCAGAAUCUGAUGUGAGCCUACGUCCCUACCAACACGAAAAUGCUGCGGGGUUUGUGCCACCAAUUGUCAGCCCGACUUCUGGCCAUGUCUACUUUCCUUCGAAUGCCAGUUCUGAUGUGAUGGUAAAGAGAGAAAUCGAUGACAUUAAUUCAGCCUCGGGUUCCAUUUUCUCCCAACCUUUGUCUUUUCCUAAAAUUCCAACUCUUACAUUUUCAUCGGCUCCGGAAAACCUAUCCCGCCCCCGCUCUCUUUCCAUAUCAGCUGUUGGUGAAAACCUAUCCCGCCCUCGUACUCUUUUAAUUGCUUCCGUGGGCGAAAACCUAACCCGCCCUCGUUCCCUAGCCAUUUCUUCAAAUGGUGAACAUCUAUCCCUUCCUCGUUCUCCAGCCAGUUCUUCAAUUGGUGAAAAUCUAUCCCUCCCUCGUUCUCUAGCCAUUCCUUCCGUUGGAGAAAAUCUGUCCCUUCCACGUUCUCUAGCCAUAUCUUCAAUUCCAGAAAACCUAUCCCGCCCUCGCACUCUAUCCAUUUCCUCUGUUGGUGAGAAUCUGUCCCGCCCUGGUUCUCUUGCUAUUUCAUUGUCGGAGGAACCUACUCCCCGGCCUGCGUCACGAACUUUAAAUCGUCCAACGUCUCUGACGAUACCAAGCCCUCAGAAUAUUUUCCAAUUUCGGGAGCAAAGAGGAUUGGGCGAGCAGGCGACGCCAGAAAAUUUAACAGUGUCGAGAAAACAGUUAUUAUCUGUUCCUAAACCUACUACCCGACCCUCUCCCACUAAACCCUAUUCUUCCCUACUCUCUCCCCGCCUCCCAACCAUGCCUAUGCUGUCUCCCCGUCUCCCUACUAUGCCCCUGCUAUCUCCCCGUCUUUCUACUUUUCCCCUUCUCUCCCCCAGACUAUCUCUACCAUCUCCUGUCUCCACCUGUCCUACUCUACCCUCUCCUAGUAGCGGCCUACCUGCGAAAAAUAUAGAAUUUUUAGAAAAAAUCUUAAAGCUUGCUGGAGUAUCUAGUCCUAUGUUGAAUACGCCUACAGUGCCACCGAUAAGUCCGGCCUUUGAGAGUAAACCAAUUGCCGUAUCUCCGCCAGGGUCUCCCUCUCCGCCCGGUCUUCCGCCGUUGUUUACUGAUCCUGAUGAUCCGGCGGAGAAUAAUGGUAAAUCCCCUCCGCCCUACCGGCGGAUUAGUGGCGGAUCAGACCAUUCAGAACACUUGGAGGAUGAUGAUAAGAAACUACUCCGACGUGAGAGGAAUAAACUCGCUGCUGCUCGUUGUAGAAAGCGUAGAACCGACCUAACUAUGACACUACAGGACGAGGUAUUGAAUUGGGAGCAGAAAGUGCGCGGGUUGAAGGAGGAGCUUAUGGAGCUAGAGACCCAGAAACUUGGACUUGAGUCAGUGCUCAACAGGCACGCUGGCCCUUGCAAAGUCCGAAGAAAAUCUUGAUUCUUCCUAUCUUUGAUCCUGAUCCUGAUCCUGAUCCUGGUCCUGGUGUAGUGGCCUGAUCCUAAUUCUGAUCUUGAUCCUGAUACUGGUGUAGUGGCUAGAUCCUGAUCCUUAUCUUGAUCCUCUUGAUCCUGACUUUGAUCCUUGUGGAGUGGCCUGAUCCUGAUCUAGACCCUGACAAUACAACUGUUCGAUGUACAAAAUAAUUCUCUCUAAAUUUCUUAAAACUGACAAAACAGUUGAACACAAGUAAAUUCUGAAAAAAAGAGCUUAUUCAUGAUUCCAACAAAACGAGUAAAAUAUAAAUUCUAAAAUUUAUCAUUGCACUAGAUUAUCCCAAACUUGAUAAAUUCUUUGCAAAAGGAUUAAUUGGUUGCUAGUGAUAUCAAUGAUAUCAGUACUUCCAUGAUCAAUGUUUACUUUCUUUAAUUCGGCAGCUACCACUUCCCCAUACAGAAACAGCCAUUACCACUACUCUAACAUAAAGAUGCUAUUUUUACUACUCUGGCAUCAGCAGCUACUCGAAAAGAAGCAGCAACUCUAAGUGACAGGAGAGGUUGACCGGUUAAAUUUGAUGAUACACCAACUAGUCCUCAAUCUUAUAUCAAUACAAAUUAGCAAUUUUCAGUUGGAAAAUUAGAUUUCUUUUUGAAUAUGAAAUUUUAGUUCAAGAUAAAUAUGCCAAUAUUGAAACUUAAGACUGUUGACAUGUUAUAAAGUCAUAUUUGUGUUUAAGGGGGGUUCAUAUUUUCCUAAAAUUCUGCCUCCCUUCUAAAUAACUAGUUAGCAUUGUGAAAGGGACUGUUAACCUUUCAUUUCUCGAAUGGGAUGUCCGAUUCUCAACGAUACCCUUAAUAGCUUUGUCUGGAUUAAGUAAGAAUUAUUUAUCAAUGUUUUUCUUCUUGAAAACUGAUAAUGUGACUUUCUACUGCAGAAAAAUAUUGAGGAAACUCAGAAUUAAACACUUUAUAAGCUAGAAAUACGACGAUAUCUUCAUUAUUGUUGAUUAGAAAAAGAUGGUAAGACUUAAGAGUACUGUUGUUAAUCGGACAUAAAUUAGAUCCAUGAAAUUAAUCUGUUCCAAGGCGGAAUUCUGGGAAGUAUGUUACCCUCGUAAUUUUUAUAGUAAAUUAAUUUUAUCUGUGUGGAUAGGUUUAGGGCCUAAUCUUGUUCUCUAUAGGAGGAGGUUUGUAACUGUAAAUAGUGGUGUCAGCAAUCAUUAAAUCAAGAAAUAUCAGUCAGUUACUAUUACUAACCCUGGGAUUUUGCAAUACCUUGCUAUUGUUAAAUGUUCUGUAAUCUUAAAAUGUAUUAGCAUUAUUAUUCUAUGGACUUUUUUCUUUUUUUUAAAACGCUUUAUGUUUUUAGAACCUCUUAUCCUUAUCUAUUUUGGGUGAAAAAAAAAUGUAUGCCAUCAUUUUUCCGUCUUCAAAAUGGAAAAUUGUGCAAUUUUACUCCAUACUAAACCAAUGUUUAUGGUAUGUAUUUCUUAAAUAUGAACUAUAUAGUUCUCCUUUCCAUUUAUCUAAAUUUUUUGGUACUAUAAUUCUACCCUUCGAAUUUUUGAUUAUUCUUCACCAUCUUGAGUUUCUCUACUAUUUUGUUUUUCUCCGCCAACUUUAUUUUCGUCCGCCAUUUUGUUCUUCCUCUCACAUCUAAAAAUAAAUUUAAUCUAG
rnacentral:misc_RNA from 1 species